ensembl:lincRNA
UGCAUCACUAUUCUGAAGCGAAAACGCGUGAUUUUAUUGAAGACAAUCUCCCCCAAUCCCCAUGACAAUCCCCCCCAAUCCCCAAUCCCCAUGAUUCUUCAAUCCCCAUGACAAUCUCCCCCCAAUCCCCAUGACAAUCCCCAAAGCCCAUGAUAUUCGACCCAUCUAAUUCCAGUUCAAACCUCCCAGAACUGUAUCUCUUGCUUUUACUUCUCCAGGGAGACCAUUCCAUGCAUCGACUACUCUAAUAAGCUUUUUCACAUCCAAAUGUUUUUUGUUUGUUUUUUCCAUAGAUGCCGAUGACAUAAAACACCUUAAAGCAUACACGAUGGUUCCUCCAACUGCCAGAGCAACUACUUCACCCAGGAGAAAUCUCGACAACAACGAUCCCACCCCAUGAAAGGUUUUCAGCUGUAGUUCACAUUCCUCCAAUCUGCAUCACAUUAGAAGGCGAAGAUGAAGACUGGUUGUAUUUACUCGAAGAUGAAGUCAAAGGGGUGACGCUGAUGGUGAACCUCAACAAGCUCAAGGAUGAAGAUCCAGUCAUCUCAAUGGUGUACGUGAUGACAAAAAAACCGAGGAUGCAGGCCCUGAGAAUCCAUGGUGACUUAUCGCUGUGGCUGAACAGUACGGAAGUACUGGGAAAUGUCAAUAAGUUUGGACCCAUGGUGGUUCUGCAAUUACCAAAUGAGAUAAAAAUCAACAUCGGUGAAAACAUCCAGAUGACUGUUACCAAGAAGACAGGUCCUCCAGCACAACCAGACCUCUCUAUCAUCCUGGAUAAGGUCGACGGAUUUUCGGCACAGACCACGGGUCUUUUUGAGAGCCUGCUGCAUGGACCACUGACUGUGGCCACUCAAUUCACUGGAGAGCAUGCGUUGUUGAACCUGAAAUCCAAGAGUGUGUCGCUUCAGAAAUCAACUGUGCAGCAUGCCGACACACAGCCCAUCUCAUGUUACCACUUACCUGCACAGUCCUUAAUACAAUAAAGCAAAGCUAGGCCAGGCAGAGCCUUCAAAAAUCACAGCAAAGAGCUGCACAAGAAAAAAGUUAAAGUUUUGAUUCUUACUGGGUUCUGUAGUUGUUGCAAAUGAUACCAUUAAUAAUAAUAAAAAAAAUGUGACUGCAACACUUCAAGCUUGAUAUUUACUCUGUAAUAUGAACUCCCUUACAAGGAACUUCAAUGCAGGAGGCCCAUUAGGCUCAUUAAGGCCUGCACUAUUAUUACCAACUUAUGGUUGUUUGUCUGUGCUCUAUCCUUUUUAAAUGCUGAGGCUGAGCAGAGCAAGGAAGCAGCACAUACUGUUUUCAAAGUCUUUGGUAUGACUCGGCCAGGGUUCAAACCACCGACCUUCCAGACUCGGAAUGGAUGCUCCAACCAUUAGGCCACCGACGCUGGUCAAAAUAUUAAGUUUUGUUGGAUUAUUUAUGAUUAAAGGAAAAUACAAACAAAAAUAAAAGUAAAAAGUGGUUGAGAUGUAUACGCAAUGCUUCAAUGCAAAAUCGAUACCGGUCUUACACUAGGAUCAUUGUCCUGCUGAAAUGUGAAUCUCCUACCCAUUUUCAGAUUAAUAGCCGACUCAAGCAGGUUUUCAUCAAGGAUUCUCCUGCACUUUGCACCAUCCAUUGUCCCUUCCAUCCUGACAAGCUUACCAGUCCCUGAUGAUGAUGAGUCAAAAGCAGCCCCGUAACAUGAUUCUGCCACCACCAUGCUUGACAGUAUGGAUGGUAUUGGCUGGGUGAUGUAUGGUGUUUGACUUGUGCCAGACAUACCACUUUGAAUUUAAAGUUCAAUUUUUGUCUCGUCUGAACACAAAUCUUUUCUCCACAUGCACUAUCAUUACGAUGUUUUUUUCACAAACUCCAUACAAGCUUUUAGAUUUGUCUUUUUCAGUGAUGGUUUCUUUCUUGCCAUUUGUCCUUUGAAGCCAGCUUUGUGAAGGGAGUGGGAUAGUGUUGAUUGAUGAACACUCACCCCCAUCUCAGACAUAGAGCCUUGUAAAUCUUUGAAAGUCAUUGUUGGAUUUAGUGACAAUCCUGAACCAGUUUCCCACUUGCCCGGCUGUUGAGUUUCAAUGGGCGGAGCUAAUCUGGGUAGAGUCUGGGUGGUAUGAUAAAUCAUCCAAUUCUUCAUGAUGGAUUUCACCACACUCAAAGGGAUAAUGAGUGACUUUGAAAUCUUCUUAUAACCCUCUCCUGAACGGUGUUUCUCCACCACUUUAUGUCAAACUUAUUUGGAAAGCUCCUCGGUCUUCAUGUUAAACCACUGAGUGCAUACAGGUGAAACCUAUUACACUUAUUUUGUAACCUUUCAAACAAAUAAUUUUCUCCAAAAGUGAUUUAGGGUUAAUUAGGCAAAGGGUUUGAAUACUUAUGCAACUGAGAAUCGCCUAAUUUUGUCUGUUAAUCUGUGUUUUUUCACAUUUUAUCUGUGUUUUUAAGCUUUAUCACGUUGAAAUAGUUUGUGAAGACUCUCUUUAAGGUAUUAAAUUUCAUUUGACAGAAUCACAAAAUAAGUUCAGGUGGCAUCAAAAUGUGAAACCUUUGGAGCAGGGUGAAAACUUUUGCAGGCCACUGUAUAGUGUAUAUACAUGCAUGCAAACACAAUUACAAACAUGUGCACAAACAUGCAAAAUCCAACAAAUAAACACGCACAUACACAAAGUAACCACAAAGUAUAACUUUUGCACAGGAACAUCAUCGGCAGCACCUCUGUAAAGAGUACAUUGAUCAUGAUGAUGAAUGUGCAACAGUUAUUGUCAUUGAACCCCAAACCCAAGAUGCACUUGCUAGUUUUCUUCAAAACCCUGCAGCUUAUCAAAAAAAAAAAAAAAUCUGGCUUUGCUUUGUAGCUGUGUAUUGUAUUCCACAAUUCUUAUAACCGCCUACGCCAAUUCUCCUCUACAAUUCCUUGGAAAUGCUGAUGGCUUAAUGACUUUGCCUUUCAAUGAGAAGGCCCAGUCUGCAACUUUAUGAGACAGUAGUGAUUACAUAUUCACAAGGACUAAAUAAAUAGUUUAUUCCUUUAUCUCCUAAAGUAAGAAUAAGCAAGUGCAGUAAACACAAGUCCAACUUGACCAAAGUAAAGUGGAUCAACACUUCUGCAUUCCAGGUAUGCACUGCCAUCUAUUCCACAUCAACGGAAUAGCAACUAUGUUACCCAAAGUUAACUUCUGCUAAUGACAUCUGCCUUGAGUUCUUGUUCUUUUUUUGAAUACAAGUGAAAAAAAGAGGAUUUUGACAAGUCUAAUCCAAGCCAAGAGGUGGAGUCCAACAAUGAAGACGAGUAUUCAUAACACUUGUAGCCCACUGACUUGUAUCGUUUAUGAGUGUGGAGCAUUAGAUAUGCUGCAAUGAUUGUGAGUGCUGGUAGACGAAGUGUGUGUAGAAAUUGAGAGGCAUGAAGAUGUUUUCAUCUUUGACUUUAAUGGAGGACAACUGAGUUUUUUUUCCCCCACCGUUCAUCAAUUAUGUGUGACCGAAUGAUCAUUACGAGUCGUCAUUAGUUUUGUCUCAAACGUCUUUAUUCAUCCAGUGGGCUGUAAAUGUAUUCACCCCCUACCAAUAAUGUCACAUUUAGAAGAAUUAUGAAUUAUGUAGAAACAAUUUUUCCAAAUGAACUUUUUUUAUUCAUAACUGAAGUGAUCAAACUAAACACUGUUAUUGUUGAAGGAGGUUACAUGUCAGAAAUACCUGCAACAAACAUGUACAAAUCAAAAUUCACUGGUUGAAAAAGUAUUCAGCCCCUGAGGUCAGUACUUGGUGGAAGCACCUUUUACAGCCAUGACUGCUAUGAGUCUAUUUGAGUUGGUCUCUACCAGCUGUGCACAGUGAGAUGGUGAAACCUUUGCCCAUUCUGCAUGUGAAAAUUGCUCGAGUUCUGCCAAGUUUAAUAGGGAUCAUCAAUGGCUGCAAACUUCAAGUCUCGCCAAAAAUGUUCAAUUGGAUCCAAGUCAACAUUUUGACUGGGCCACUCAAGAACAUUUAUUUUCUUCUUAUUCAGCCACUCCAGUGUGGCUUUUUGGCUUCGUGCUUCAGAUCAUUGCCCUGCUGAAAUGUGAAUCUUCUACCCAGUUUCAGAUUCAAAUUCAGAUUAAUGGCUGACUCAACCAAGUUUUCAUCAAGGAUUCCCUUGCACUUUGCACCAGCCAUUGCCCCUUUUAUCGUGACAAGCUUGCCAGUCCCUACUGAUGAAAAGCAGCCCUGCAACACCAUGCUUGACAGUAGGGAUGGUGUACAGUAUUAGGCUUACGUCAGAUAUAACGCUUUGAAUUUGAAAGUUUGUAUACUUUGAAAACAGCGAUUAAGCAGUGUCCGUAGGUGAGUCAGUCAGUCAGUACAUAAACACUUUAGUCAGUUUGAGGUUGCAUCAAAAUGUGAAAACUUUGGAGGGGACAGAGUACUUUUGCAGGCCAGUGUAACUGUGAAAUGGAGCAAAGUGUUAUACUUGUGGUACACUUUACCCCAGUCAAUUAAUUUGGCACAAUCAAUGUUUUAGUUCAUUUCAGCUUCCACAUUUGUACAAAAGGACUACAAAACAGGGAUCAUGUGAUGAAAAGUAUGGCUGAGGCAGUCAAGACGAAGGAUGAACGAAAAUGGAUAUGCAAACACCACCAAGCAGUUCAACAUGCACAAGACGACAUUAAAGCAUCAUGCAAAAGGCCUCAACAAUUCACCAAUGGAAUCCCAAAAGAUGAGCCUGGGUUUUCUCAGUCAUUGUAUUCAUAUUUGAUCCAUACUCCAAAAUGAUUUUUUUUCUUUUUACCACGCAAAACGAAAGGCGAGGUUAAGCAAUUGGUUCAUUUUGUCUGUCUUUUCUGUCUGCAGAUGUCAGUUGAUGAUUGAGGAACUACUUAAUUUUGAAUGAAUUUUAUAUUUUGAACACUACAACAUGAAUUGGAACACGAAUUGCAACACAUGCCAGUAGUUUAUCAGUACUUUGGCUCUGAAUUUGGCAUAUUGCACAGAAUCUCAUCACAAUCGCACAUGCGCAGAGGAGUGGGAUAAUUAAUUUUAGUCUGACCGCCUGUCUGGUAGUCAAACAAAAUUGAAAAUAUUUACAAACAGGAAACCCACUGUUUUUAGGGACAUCAUAAGAGACAACCAACAGGCAGGAAGAACUAAUUUAACGUGUUAAAUGAGGUGGUGUAAACGAGAGUGCAUAAAUGGCAGUAUACUUCGGAAAAAAGUUUUUACAGCGCAUGCGCUGUAUACAAUUGCACCGAGUUUGAAAUGUCCCCCUGUCCCC